rnacentral:lncRNA from 1 species
GUUUAUAUCUUUUCAAACUGACAGUAACUCCCUUUCCAAAUAACUUAAACUUGUCAUCCACUUCUUUAGGUGUGGUGCCUAGGGUCUACCAUGGGUCAGAUCGGACUCUUGGUCUGAAUCCAAAACCCCAGUUCGAGGAGAGAAGGGUCAUCUAUGAAGACUUGAAAAACAUCUCAAGAUACGGUCUGCCAAGAGACAAUAUAUAGGUCUGAUUUAAAGUUAUCAAAUAGAUUGCCUUGGUGAGGAUCCAAAAAUCCAGAAAUUCAUAACCAUGAUCAUAAUUUCUAUCAGGUCAAAACAUCUGUUCCUUCGGAGACAUCCGAUUGCGACAAAAAAAAAAAAAGUCAAAACAUCUUGAAAUUUUAAAAAUCUUGAAGUCCGUUGGAACAAAUGGUUCUAGCUAAAGUCUGUCAUUUCUCUGCAAAGUAGUCCAAAUGAGUCAUCAUCAGAGUCAAUCAAAAUAAAAAGAAAGAAAAAUUACCUACAUCCAUAAAAACCAAGUUCAAAUGGAAACCUAUCCCUACAAGGUACAACCCAAAGAUGAGAAGAAACAAGGGGAAAAAAUAGAAAACAAAUAAUAUUCCUGACAGUCUCCAAGAACGCAGGAGAUAAUGAAUCCAAAAGACUGGAGAAAACGCAAAAAAAAAAGGAAAAAGCUGGAGACGUAAAGUGGAAAAAAUAGAAAAUGAGGAAGACAAAGGAGAACGAGCGACAUACACGCGAAGUAUUUUUCCCUUGAAGUGGUGAAUGGUUCCUCUUACCGGUACCCGGUGCCGGGACAGAGUACACGACUCUCGAUCGGAGCGGGGGAGGAGCCGAUCCUCGGAGCCGCCAGAAUCCGAUCCCUUCUCCUCCUCCUCUGAGACGACCAUAGACGAAGAUAUUACCAUUAAAUUAAAUUAAAUUAAAGAAAAACAAGAAAUCGUUGACGUGCACCAGAAGAAGAACCUUUUUCUUGACUGACCUGGAAUUCCGGAAAAGGGAGAUGGAGGUCUCCGAGGAACGAGGAGGAGGGGGUGCGAGAGAGGGGAGAAGGAGGUUGGAGGAGGAGGAGGAGGAGGAGAGAGAUCUCCUUGGGAAUUAUUUUGGAGGGCUGCAACGGCGAUCCCUUUUAUCUCGUUUGAAAUGCCGCUAUACAAAAGAGGUCGGGGGACGCCUAAUGAAACUGGCGACUGCUCCUCUUGUUGCAUCGAUGGUUGAAUCGAGACGCGACGGUGGAACGGAAAGGGUCGGAGAAUUGAAUGCUCCAAGGAUUCGAAAGGGAUUCGACUUUCGAGGCGUCCGCUGACGCGUUUUCUUCCUUUGGCUGCCGGUACCGGUACCAGGGAUCUAAAAUCCGGUCCAAAGUGUUGGGUUAGGAUUACCGGUAGGUGAUCGCAACCCAAGGUCCCACAAAUCGGGCUUGCUUAAAUUUUCUUUUUUUUAUUUUUGGUUUCGGAUCGUUGAUCCCGACGAAACAAACGGCCCGGUCCACCUCUUGCCCGUCCUCUGAAGACAGUUAUAGUUGCGAAUUGGGGGGCUCUUAUGUGACCUACCACUCCAAAAAUAUUCUCUAAGCUAAAGAAAAAAAAUUGCCUAAAAAACUCCAAAACUUAUUAUUUUCUAGUUUAUUGAGUGUAUUCGUUUUCAUAAUUAUGGAGCGUCCGUUUUAGAAAAAAUUAUAAUUACUAUAUAUACUGUUUUUUAUUUUUUUAUAGAAAAUAAUGCUUUAUGUGUUCCCAAAUCAAACCCAAAAAAAAGAAAAAAUAAACUUUUAUUUUAUUAUAUUAUUUUAGUAUUUAUUUUAAAAAAUAUAAAUUAAUUUUUUUACUAAUGAAGUACAAUAUUUUUUUAAAAUAUACUUUUUAUCCGUAUGUAUUAAAUAAUCAGACAAUAUAUACCAAAUAUAAUUUUUUUAAUAAUUAGAAAUAUAGCAAAAGAAAAAUUCUGUUUUUUUUUUAAUUUUGGUGCCUUUUUAUAUGAUUUUGUUUUCUCAAAUCUCAUCUCGAAUUUUGAUAAUUUUGAGGGUGAUAUUUCGAAAUAUGUGCAUUUAAUUCUACCUAGACGAGAGAAAAUUGUGCUUAGAUAUUUCCAAAUUUAACCGUUUUCAAUGAAAAAAGACAAACAUAAAAGUAAGGUUCAUUUACCUCUUUGAUUUCGUCCCUUGAAAUUGUUUUUUUCCUCUUUUAGCAGUACGAUCCGAUGGAUGGCGUUGAAAUACUCGGAACCGGGUUUGGGCAACGUACGAGCAUAGACAUAGACCAGACGAAAUAUUUGAAGGAACUGGACCCCAAUUUGAGGCGCCGCCUUCCCCAGGAGGCAACUUCCCAACGAGCGUCGUCACGACAACGGUAUCAUUGAGUCGUUUCCUUCAAUGUUUGGGUAAUCCUCCCCCUUCUUUAUUCAAAGCUUCAUCAUCAUUUACGACUGGACCGUGGCAAGGACAGAGAUGCAUGACAUAUUUUAGUCACUUUGGUUGCUAGCUGACAACUAAUAGUAUCUUGGAAGCAAGGCUAGCUAGUUCUUGUGGAUGAGGAUUUAGAACAUUGCAUCUUAAUGGAUGGGCAUGCUCCAAUGGACGAAGAUUGCUUUAAAAAAAUGGCAAUUAUAAGUAGCCAUUUUAGACCGACAUAAAAGAGUAUGCAUUUUAUAAUAAGAGGGGACCUCAUCUCAAUUAAUGACUAUGAAUUCAAAGUAGACAUAUAUGUGCUUUUUUUAUUAAGCUAAUGCCAUUUCAAGGUUUUGUGGUAGAGAAAAAGUAUUCUACCAACUCCAUUAUUUAUUCUUGGGAUCUUGGCUACAGCAAGGCACAACCAAACCAUUCAUGUGCCUGACCCACUGCUACCUUACCAUUUUUUUUCAUGCAGCUUUCGGAAUAUCUGCGCGAACCACUGGAAGUCCAGUAUUACUGUAUUAGGGAACAAUUGCUCAAAAGGUGAAGCCAUUUUCAGGCUACUAUCAAAGAUUCUUUAGCAUUCUUCACAAAAAGAAAAAUAGUUUUGGGAGAUUAGAGGGGGAUAUAAGAUUGAUGACAAUUGCAAGAGGAAUCCAUUUCCUGCUAUGACAAUUGCAAGAGGAUAGGUGUAACUUGCGAGAGUUUGUUUACUUGUAAGAAAUUCGUAGUUUAAUAGGUUGAUGUUGAAAAUUGGUAAAAUUUAGCUUGUAAUUAUACAUGCUAUUGAAAGGUGGUGCUGGUACUUAUGAGAUGCCUAAUUUAAGAAUGAAAAGUAUUGAUGGACACAGUAAUUUCAUCAACCAGGAGAAUGUUAGUCAGCUGCUAUGGUGCAAGAGAUCAAUUCAAGAGGAAAAAAAAAAUGUGACGCACAUCAUGAUUUCACCUGCUGGUGAGAUGCUACUUGACAAAUAGGGUACACAACAAAUCAAGGGUGAGGAAUAAUUGGAUAGAAGACUGUGAUCUCAUAAUUGAUUGUGCAUUACAUAGGAUAUGCAAUGCCCAUGACUAGUAGUUCAACGCAAAAGCAUAUCUGAUGAACAAUUAUAUGGUCCCCUUGUUUAUUGAAAUGUCAAUUGGCAUAUGUGGUAGAUGCGGCUGAUGUAUGUGGACAAAGUGUUCAAUUAUGGUUGAAAUUCAAGAUGGAGUACAUGGCAGACAACUAUUAUUUCAUUACUGGAUGAAGUGUUAAAGGAGGAGACUUUUUUUGUUUGAUGUAAAGGGAGGCAGAAGGAGCCACCCGCUUUUAUUGAAGAUUAAUCGUAUUUACAACAGAGAUGAGUUACAUUAUCAAGAGAGUAAAGGAACAAAUGCGAGAAAAAGAAGCUAAAUGGCUCCGAACGAAGUAUUUGAUAAUCAGCACAGGGGAUGUUGAUGCUCAUAAGAAGAAGCAGUGGAGGAAAAAAACCUCAUACAGACCAAUAAGCAGGAGCAUUCAUUGCUUGGAAGUUUCAAGCAAUUUCACAAAGAUUUCUAGGCCAGCACUUUCCUGCUAUACCAGCCUUUUUUGAACAUGAAGAGCUUUGUUUUGCUGAUCUCAAAAGACUAAGCUGUUGUACCCCUUCCCACAACCGAAUGAGACUUUAAAAAAAAGCACUAAUUUCACAAAAGAGUCUGAUUUGAGAGAGUUUUUGAAAAACAAAACAAUCAAUUUUCCACAACCAAUUUCAUACCACGUCUGGUACCUUUUCUGAAGCAUAAUAUAAUUUGCCGGAAGGCAUAAGAGGAUGAACAAGAGCAGUAGCUGAAGGAAACAAAGUUGCAAUUCUAAACAAAGUUCCUUUCUUUUGGCUUAAUUUUAUUCCUAAAUGUUUCAUUUCUCGAUAUAAUUUCAGAUUUACUUAUAACAAAGAAUUCAUAGGAUCAUAAGCGAAAUUUUGAGUCUUUUUUUGUGCUAUUAUAUGUGUGUGAGCAUAGAGAAGAGUUAAAACUUCCCAACAAGUUUGUGUGGUAUUAUUGUCCCAAAUAAUAUGCACUAUUUUAUGAUUUUUCAUCUGCUUUUAUAGUUCUAAUUUUGCAUUAGAUCAUUAGAAUUGUUUUAUACAAGAUUACUGUUUUAUUUUGUCUGGCAAUGUGUGAAAUUUUUCUUGUGCUUUCAAUAUCUGUAUCUUGUACACCUUUUACUUUCAUUUAUACAUGUUCCCUCCAUGAAGCGAAACUACGCUUUAAGUUUUGAGAGGUUACCGUGAAUCCCCAGUUUUAAGCUCACUAUUAACCAAGAAACUGCCAAGAUAUGGACACAAAAUUUGAUAAAUUUCAUGCAUUCCUUAACAUUUUUUUUUUCUUUUUUAACUUUAUGGAAGAGGAAUAUAAUAAAUUAAAAACAGCUAAAACAAACAGGGAUUUCACAUAGUUACGUUGGAAGACAUUGAUAAUCAAGAAGACAUGCAUUCUCGCGCAUCUUCUCAGGCAGGUAACUCAGGGUAAUACACACGAGAUUGUGAAUCUGUGAUUAUGGACAUAUUAAUUUACUACGAAAAGCCAAUCUGACAACAGGUAAAUUUAAGCAUGUUUCUGACCUCACCAAGUAAACAACAUAUGCGAAAAUAACCCUGCAGAAGGCAUGUAUGAAUUCACUGAUAGGUUACAACAAAUNNNNNNNNNNNNNNNNNNNNNNNNNNNNNNNNNNNNNNNNNNNNNNNNNNNNNNNNNNNNNNNNNNNNNNNNNNNNNNNNNNNNNNNNNNNNNNNNNNNNNNNNNNNNNNNNNNNNNNNNNNNNNNNNNNNNNNNNNNNNNNNNNNNNNNNNNNNNNNNNNNNNNNNNNNNNNNNNNNNNNNNNNNNNNNNNNNNNNNNNNNCGAAUAUUAUCAUAUCAGAAAUUUUGUACCCAGAAAAUGCCAAAAGUCACUCUUUUGCAAACAUUCGUUCGAUGUUCUUGUCGUGAACAAAUUCCAUCAAAUCCAUCCACAUGUUGAUGCAGGAUAAUUUGUUUGACCAGUUGGGUUUUUCCUAUGUGCUAUUGAGAUGUAUUAAGAGAAGUUUAGAUAUUUGGUGAGGGAAAAGAAAAGCAGAGUAGGAUACCGUCAGCUUCUUUGAAGCAAACAUACUAUAUCAAGACAUGCAGCAGAGGCCUGAAAAGCCCACUAACUAAAAUUGGCUUACACAAGAUAAAAAUCUAGGUGUGGGGAGAGACCUGGCACCAAUCUAUGUUCUUUCCUGGAGUGAAGCAGAAUGAACGGAUCAUCUGCCCUUCGCUUGCUCCUGCAGCUCCUAGAUUUGAAAUACUGUCCUAUAAUCCAAAACAUGCAAUUCACCAAGCGGGAUUCUCAAUCAACGCACUCUCUCUUGGAAGGAACAUCUAAGAUCGGUAAGGUAAUACUUAAAUUGUCCGCUUAGGCUUUCUAGCGUACACGAGGGAAGAUUAAAACGCUUAGAUCUUUAGGGAAUAGAAAAUAAACUGAAAGAUUGGAAAUAAUAAGGAGCACAAAUACAGGAGAAAGAUUAGGGGAUUAUCCUAGAUGGUUAGGUUGGUUUUGGAAUCUGGAGAGAUGACUACAAAAGAACAUAGAUAACACAGUACAAGAGGGUCCUAUGAAAGCAUAGCACACAGUUUGUUCUCCUUCAGUUCUCCUUCAUUCUCCAAAGGUGUCAUACUCUCCCCAUAUUGUCCGGUUAAGAUUUGGCUAUGGACAAGGUCUUCCAAGCAGUGCAAGAUAAAAUAGAUAUCCAUAAAAUACCAAAAAUAAUAUGAGGUACAUUCUUCGUGUCCAGAUAUCCAAUUUUAGUGUUAAUUAUGCAUAAAAACUAUGUCAGCAACUUUCUAUAGUUGAAAGAGAUGCAGAUAGAUCAACCUUUACAAGUUCGACCAGCCUCUAGUUUUCCAAUGGCAAUCCCUUGGCCGACUGCUGCUUUGUACAAACCAUUUGGGAGGCAGUCCACGAACAGACUAGGAAACUCAAAGAAGAGAAGGAUACUCUGGUCGGCAAUCAUAUAUCUUCCAUACUUUCCAGGAAAUUUUUUGCCAUUUUGUCUUCCUCUGGUAAGGUCCUAUGGAUGCCUCACUUCAUUAUAUUCCUUAAUAUGGAAGAAUUGGAAAGAAAAGAUGACAUUAAAUUGGUCUGAAACUGGGUUACCUUUUUCCCUUUUUACUUUUCCAGGCCUACGAUGUGAACAUGCGAAUUUCAGCAAAAACCUAUCAAAGGUCAUCCAUGAAAAUUGUUCAAUAUCGCAUGAUUAUGUUUAUAUCUUUUCAAACUGACAGUAACUCCCUUUCCAAAUAACUUAAACUUGUCAUCCACUUCUUUAGGUGUGGUGCCUAGGGUCUACCAUGGGUCAGAUCGGACUCUUGGUCUGAAUCCAAAACCCCAGUUCGAGGAGAGAAGGGUCAUCUAUGAAGACUUGAAAAACAUCUCAAGAUACGGUCUGCCAAGAGACAAUAUAU